AUUGAACGCUAGCGGGAUGCUUUACACAUGCAAGUCGAACGAGUGGCGGCCGGGUGAGUAAUAUAUCGAAACGUGCCGAGUAUCGGGGGGUGACUACUCGAAAGAGUGGCUAAUAACACAUACCAUGGGAACGGCCGCUAUCGGAUUCGCUAGUUGGUGGGGUAAAGGCGCACCAAGGCAACGCUCCGUAGCUGGUUUGAGAGGAGGACAAGCCCCACUGGGACGGAGACAAGGCCCAGACUACUACGGUAGGGAGGAGUGGGGAAUUUUGGACUAUGGGGGGAACCCUGAUCCAGCCAUGCCGCGUGUAUUAGAAGGCCGUAGGGUUUUAAAGGACUUUUGUCUUUGAAGCGGUAUCUUCAGAAUAAGCACCGGCUAACUCCGUGCCAGCCGCCGCGGUAAUAC
rnacentral:rRNA from 1 species